UACGUAGGGACCGAGCGUUGUCCGGAAUCAUUGGGCGUAAAGAGCGUGUAGGCGGCCCUUUAAGUCCUGCGUGAAAUCCCCCGGCUCAACCGGGGAAUAGCGUCGGAUACUGGCGAGCUCGAGGUCGAUAGGGGUAAGUGGAACUCCAGGUGGAGCGGUGAAAUGCGUAGAUAUCUGGAGGAACACCGGUGGCGAAGGCGGAUCUCUGGGCCGAUACUGACGCUGAGGAGCGAAAGCGUGGGGAGCGAACAGG
rnacentral:rRNA from 1 species